rnacentral:rRNA from 1 species
CCUACGGGAGGCAGCAGUAGGGAAUAUUGCUCAAUGGGGGAAACCCUGAAGCAGCAACGCCGCGUGGAGGAUGAAGGUUUUAGGAUUGUAAACUUCUUUUGUUAGAGAAGAUUAUGACGGUAUCUAACGAAUAAGCACCGGCUAACUCCGUGCCAGCAGCCGCGGUAAUACGGAGGGUGCAAGCGUUACCCGGAUUCACUGGGCGUAAAGAGGGCGUAGGCGGGGUAAUAAGUCAGAUGUGAAAUCCUGUAGCUUAACUCCAGAACUGCAUUUGAAACUGUUCCUCUGGAGUGUAGGAGAGGUAGGUGGAAUUCGGGGUGUAGGGGUAAAAUGCGUAGAGAUCAAGAGGAAUACUCAUUGCGAAGGCGGCCUACUGGAACGUUACUGACGUUGAUGCACGAAAGCGUGGGGAGCAAACAGGAUUAGAUACCCUUGUAGUC